AGCCUGCUUGGGAUAUUCUCUGUCUCCCCUUCCCCCCUCCUCUCUCUGUUUCUCCCCCACUCAUGUUCAUUCUCUCUCUCUCUCUCAAAAAAAAAAAAAGCCUUAAAAAUAAAUAAAAAAUCAAAUGGCCACAUUCGGAAAGUAGAUUGGCUUACCAAAUAUCAAUACUCGUUAAGAAUUUAAGUGAAAACAAGUAGUUAAGGCCAAAUGUUAAUCCCAGUGGAGAAGCAAAUUUGGUUGGUCAGGUUUACCCUACAAUUAGCAGUCUCAUUCCUAUAAAUUAAAAUAAAAUUUGGGGAUAUAUAUUUCUUUACCUGUAACUUUCAGUUCUGAUGACCAAAGAUAGAGUAUUCACAAGAAUUUUUAGACAUGGUACUUUGGUUAUGGAUUUACAUAUACUCCUUAUAUUGGUUUAACUUUCCAUAAAUUAAUCUUUUAAGACAACAUUCAAAUCUAAGAAGAAUGUGUACAUUUGUAUUGUAUAAUAUAAAUUCACAAAGCUUAAAGUUAUCAGGUGCCUGGAUGGCUCAGUCAUUAAGCAUCUGACUUCAACUCAUGAUGUCCGGGUUCAUGAGUUUGAGACACACAUGGGAUGAGCAUGAACCCCGCUUCAGGUAAGUCCCACCUCUCUCUCUCUCUCUCUCUCUCUCUCUCUCUCUCUCUCUUUUUCCCCUGUGGGAUUCUCUCUCUCUCUCUCUCUCUCUCUCUCUCUCUCUCUGCUCCCCUUGGCCCCUUGCUCACUUGUGCUCUCUCAAAAAAAAAAAAAAAAAAAAAAAACACUAAAAGUUAUGCUAUGUAAUUCACGUUUAUAUGAAGUGAUAUGUUCAAUUUGUAAAUUUGAAAACUAAAAAUUUUAAGAGUAACAGUUGUUUGAAGCCUACUUCCAUACAAGUGAUGGAAAAAUAAUUUUCCUGGAUAAAGACUUUGCAUUUUAAAGCAUCAGUUACCACACUUCCUUAAGUUCAUUCUCCUUAAUAAUCUUAGUAUUAAACAGGUAACUACUCAAACCCAAAAUAAAUCACAUUUGUGAAGAGUAAUUUCUUCUAAAAAGAAGAAAUUUUCUCACUUUGCUGCAUAGGAAUAUUAUAUUAUCUACUAGUAGUAUUACCACAGUUAAAGAAGGAUGAUUAUUUAGACAGUUUUUGUUUUUUAAGUAGGCUCCAUGCUCCAACACGGGGCUUGAACUCCAAGAGAUCAAGAUCUAAGCUGAGAUCAAGAGUGAGAUGAUUAACCGACUGAGCCACCCAGGCACCACUAUUUACACAGUUUUUUUAAAGAAUUUUUGUUACCAAAACCUUUAAAAUUGUUACUUAUUUUUGGUUUUAAAAAAGCAAAUGAAUAUAACUUGGAUAGGCUUUCUCUUGCUAAAAAUAUUGAGCUGAAUGACUUAUGCCCUGAAAUUUUUAAUAAAAAGUAGGUUUUGAAUGAAAACUCAAAAGUUUUCUAGUUUUUAAUCUUACCCAGAUAGUGUCCACUACCAAAAAACGUUAUAGUUGAAACAAUUGACACUUUUGUUGCCCUUCUUUUUCAGAGUAACCUGAGACCAAGAAUUGGAAUCACACCCAUCAAAUGUAAUUUCUGGUGGGUAAUUUUUUCUUCUUUAAUUCUCUAUUUAAAGGCCAUUCACCAUUCUGUUCUGAAUUUUGAUUGGCUGAAGUUUGAGAACAUUAAAUUAUCUUCUGCUGUCUACCCUGUUCGUUUUAUUAGGGUUGCCUCUUCUUUUUAUGGCCUUAUUCCUGUUUCUGAAACAUAUUCCUCAGACAAAAUCUAUGGUUAAUUACCCUCAUCUUUGCAACUCUUACACACCUCCAUUUGAGUCUCCAGAAGGUCUAAGAGAGUAAAGUUUUCCCAAUGAACAAGAAAUACAUGCUCAAUAUAGAAAAUGUGAAAACCGAGAAGUACAAAGGAAAAAAAAUCACAUGUAAUAUCGUCAUCCAGAAAUAAAAUAUAUGUAUUACACAUAAUUUAUGAAAAUAUUUUUAUAUACUGGUGAAUAAGUCUGUGUAAGUAUUUUUCUAAAACAAUCUUUAAUGACUACAUCAUAUUCCAUCCUGUCCACAUACCAUAAUUUAUCUAAGCCCUCUCCUCUGGGGGAACACUUAAAUUGUUCACAAUUUUUCAUGGUUUUAAAUAAUAUUUUACUCUAUAUUUCUUUGUACUUUUAAAUAUAUUUAUAAUAUUUGGUUA